GCCUCUCCCGGAGCCUCUCAAAGGAAGUUGGAUCUCCUUAUCGGCCACUCUGCUGUGUGGCAUGAACGAAGCUCCUCCGCGCGGUGUGAAACGGCUGGAUUUCAAACAAUCACCAGUUGCAUUUUUUUCGUCAUCACGGGGAGACACUGCCGACUGCUCGGCUGUACUGAAGUCUGCGGUCUUCGUCUGCGCUGCCGGAGAGACGUCAGUCUAGGGGAUCACUGUGCCCCCUCUGCUUCUCAUCCGGCCCCCCCGGCUGUCACCGCGCCCGCCAGGUUCAACAUGAUUGCUUCUUUAUUAUUAUUAUUAUUAUUAUUAUUAUAUGAAAUGUUUGUAUAUUGGGAAGUUUGCUAUAUUUUUUCUAUGAGAGAUGUUUUAAAGGCCCUCCACCAAACUUACUUAUUAAACAUAAAGAAGUGUG